rnacentral:rRNA from 1 species
CCUACGGGAGGCAGCAGUGAGGAAUAUUGGUCAAUGGACGAGAGUCUGAACCAGCCAAGUAGCGUGAAGGAUGACUGCCCUAUGGGUUGUAAACUUCUUUUAUAUGGGAAUAAAACGUUCCACGUGUGGGAUUUUGUAUGUACCAUAUGAAUAAGGAUCGGCUAACUCCGUGCCAGCAGCCGCGGUAAUACGGAGGAUCCGAGCGUUAUCCGGAUUUAUUGGGUUUAAAGGGAGCGUAGGUGGGCUGUUAAGUCAGUUGUGAAAGUUUGGGGCUCAACCGUAAAAUUGCAGUUGAAACUGGCAGUCUUGAGUACAGUAGAGGUGGGCGGAAUUCGUGGUGUAGCGGUGAAAUGCUUAGAUAUCACGAAGAACUCCGAUUGCGAAGGCAGUUCACUGGACUGCAACUGACACUGAGGCUCGAAAGUGUGGGUAUCAAACAGGAUUAGAUACCCGGGUAGUC